AAUUCCAGUAGAAGGACCAAGAGGCAUAUUGUUCACAAGUUCUAGUCGGUCUGUUGAACACAACUGA
rnacentral:sRNA from 1 species